UACGUAGGGGGCAAGCGUUGUCCGGAUUUAUUGGGCGUAAAGAGCGUGUAGGCGGCCAGACAGGUCCGUUGUGAAAACUCGAGGCUCAACCUCGAGACGCCGAUGGAAACCAUCUGACUAGAGUCCGGAAGAGGAGAGUGGAAUUCCUGGUGUAGCGGUGAAAUGCGCAGAUAUCAGGAAGAACACCCGUGGCGAAGGCGGCUCUCUGGUACGUGACUGACGCUGAGACGCGAAAGCGUGGGGAGCAAACAGG
rnacentral:rRNA from 1 species